AAGAUGGACAAGAAGAAGAAGAGGAGAAGAAGGCGGGGGCAGAGGGAAUGUAAAGAAGAAAAAGACAAACAUGAGAAGAAGAGGAGGAGGAGGAGGACCACGUGGGGAUUCAGAGGUGUUUUCUCAUUCAGCUUGUUUGGCGAGCGUUGCCGUGGCGUCUUCGGGGACGACGCUCCUACAAGACAAAGAUUAGCGCUACAAAGGCAGCAGGUGGCUGCUGGCUCCGCCGCUGCCCGACUCUGGGACCUAAUUAUCUACGGCACGGAAACUUUCCCCCCGUUUGAAGGACAAAUGAUUAAUUAAAAAGAACAACUCACCUACGCCUGUGAUCUUUGGACAAUACCCAGAGUGCCGAGGGUUUCUUUCCACACGUGUGUGUGUCGGUGUGUGAUUGUGGGGAAGCCUCGGCGGGACGGUGUAUCAUUGUCAGACAGUCUUAAUAGCGCUGCCUGGUUCAGGGAGCCCGUUGUGUCCGACUGAUAACUAGCUAACGUGACGUUGACACGCGGGACGGGACAAAGCGAGCUACAGCAAGGUCACCGUGACCUUCAGCAGCCGCCGCCGCCAUGACGGAGCGAGGAAGACACAAAUAUAAUUGACUUAACAAAUGGGAUAUAAUACAGCAGAUAAGACAGACGCGUGUAGCACGUGAAGGUGUCAUUUAGCAACUUCAAAAGGCUGAAAAUAAACAGAUGUUUCAGUCCUCGAACUUCCGUACUUACACUUAGUAAAUGCGUUCACGUUGUCAGUUCUGUCAAAAUGAAGAAGUGUACUGUGAGUACCCGGAUGGUUCUCUCAUAACACUUGACACUUCUCGGCCUUGGUGGUCGCCAUUUUGGCUACAUGGCUGAAGGGGGUGUUAAGAAAAUGGUGGCCGAGGAAGGUGCUGAAGCUGAAGAGGCUGUGGUGAAUACCGCGAUAUAUACAAAUAGUCCUUCUGUCUUUAUUUCCUCUCUGUUCGUGUUUGGCCAGACGACAGCGGUGUCCCCAGAUAAAAGACGACCAAACAAGAAAGGGAGGUAGGAAAAAAACAGAAGAAGGAGAAGAAAAAGAAGAAGAAGAAGAAGAAAAGGGACUGGGAUGAAGAAGAAACAGAGAGGGCGAGGAUAACAGAGCGACGAGUGUGUUUGGUGUAAUUGAAUCCAGGCGGCGGCGCAGAAAGGGGACAGAUGGAUGGACUGAACAGAUUAGCAUCCGUAAUCAGAGGAAGGCGUGAGGAGGAAUAGACGCGGAGGACGUGUUCAUUGAGCUGCGCCAGCUUCCGAUGAACACAAAGUACGACUUAUUGUCUCAGAUGGAACAGACACACACGUGUUGUUUUACAUGAUGAGACUUUUGACAGUUCCUGCUGCCGAAUCUGAUCAAGAUACAAACAUGAGAAGAUCUGCUGAGUCGAAACACAGUCACUUUAAACAAAAAAAUACUCUGUUCAUGGGAGAAGAACACAGCUCCGUCCUUGUGUUGUCACACUGCAGUGGACUGAACACACAGGAAGGAAACAGUAGAAGAAGAAAGCAGGAAGCAGGAAGAGAUGGAAAUGACUCAGAAAUGGCGUUAUGAAUUUUCACAAUAAAACACCAUGUGCAGAUUCUUCAUGCUAAGAACAGCUAAAAAGGAAACUAAAUUAAGUUAUAUGUUUUUAUCACAUAUAUGUAACUAAUUUGACAUCCAAUCAAACACUUUCUCGCUUCUGGCGCCGCUGGAGCAGAGUGCUUCCUGUUUGAUACAGUCUAUGAGUGAUCUAUGGCCAGGCCUCACUGCUUACUGUACAAAAGCACAACUUUAUAACUUUAUUCAGUGAUUUUAGUCAAACUUGAUCCGAUUUUAUUCACAAUAUAUUUGCUGCUUUUCCCUCUGAUGUCCUCCAGCUGCUCAGUAAAUUUCCGUUUUAUAAACCCCACCCACCUGGGACACCAUGUGUCUUAAAACAAGCAUAAAGUUGCUUCACUUCCACGUAAAGUUCAUCAGUCUGAAUAGAUUUUUCUGAAGUUAAUAACUGGGCUUCCCUCGCUGGCUGCUCUGUCAUCAUCUUAUCAGACAGCUGACCUCAUCGUGUUAAUUACAGUCAGGCUCAUAAAGUAUUGAAAUUGGAGUUAAAAUAUGAGAUGACCUUGGAGGAGAGAGAUCUUCCUUUGAAGCUCUGCGCUGCUUUUCAGCACCCUCUUACACCGAGAGAGAGUCAUCUUUAAAAGCACAUGACGCAAUUUGACUAAUAUCAGUCAAACGGAGGCUGAGAGGUUCGAAUCGUUCUGAAGGGUGAGUGGUUGGAAUUAUUACUCAUAAGUGUAAUUCAGAGGAAGAACUCAAGCCUGCUGCUUGUACUUCGUCUCACUUCAGUGUCUUCAUUAAAUGUCAUCAUUUCAGGGUCACAGGCACAUUUACAUUCAGUCGGAUGUCUGCUGGCUGUUGACUUUGACCUUUAACCUCCUCACUGGAGGUGAAGGGACUGAAGUUUUAUUUUCGACCUGAUAAAUACGGGAUUUGACAAAGAGAGCUCCUGACCUGAAAAUUCAGCUACAAGUAUUUUUGCUUUUUUAAGGCUGGUUUUAUUGUCACAUGUUGAUAUAUUUCUAGACAAAAUUUAGUAUAUUUGUUAUUAUCUUAUGGAGGUUUUGCUAAAACUUUCACAUUUCCUGCUAAACAUUUUCCAGAUCCUCAUUCACACACACGAUCAGUGAUCACUGUCUUGUCUGUUUUUUGCUCAGUAUUAAGAAAAUAUUUCUAAGAAUUCAUUCACUACUGCACUGAGCCACGUAGACAAACAUAAACAUGACCUGAUAUCAUAAAGAAACAGCAGAAAUACUGAACUGACGACCCGAGACGUCAGGAGCCAAACCCGGCAAAAGAAAACACCUCAGUAGGCGACUGUAUUCACUGACAGACUGACCACUGCCGGUUUCAGAGGUUGUGUGCAGGUUCUGGUCAUGUUCACUGGAAGAUGUCUUUUAUCUUGUUUUGUUGUGCUUUUCAUGCAUGAUGGAGGCUCCAUGAAUGUAUCACCAAAAAAAAUUGGUCUAAAAUUACUGACUUAAAAGUGAUUUUUGAGGUUGAGAUUUGAC